UUUUUUUUUUUGCACCAUGCAGUAUAAGAGUCGAGCAAUUUAAGAUACAGUACCUUCAAAUUUGUUCAUGACACCGCAGAGAAAGCACGGACCCCAAGACUGAUCCAUGAGGGCCCAUAAAUGGGAACCUGUUGUGGUCAUUUAUCCACAACAUUUCAAAAUGCUUCAAACCACCACUACUCCAAAAUAAUCUUUCAUGUGGAUGGAGCCAGGGACUGUAUUCUGACCCAAUAGAAAAGCAGAUGGCUUUGAAGAAGUGGCAGUGGCACGAGGAACACGGCUCACAACAGCCUUGAUUUGGCAAACAGCUUUGUCCCAGCUGGGAACAUGUUGCAGAAGCAGGUUUUGGUGCCUUGGUCGAAGAGUUCUUUGG